GACGAACGCUGGCGGCGUGCUUAACACAUGCAAGUCGAACGGAGUGGCGAACGGGUGAGUAAACCGGGGGUGACCUCCCCUGCACCCCGGGAUACGCCUGGGAAAAUGGGUCUAAUACCGGAUAGUGUGGGAUGGGUCCGCGGCCUACCAGCGUGUUGGUGGGGUAAUGGCCUACCAAGGCGGCGACGAGUCGCCGGCCUGAGAGGGUGGACGGCCACAUUGGGACUGCGACACGGCCCAGACUCCUACGUGAGGCAGGGGUGGGGAAUAUUGCCCAAUGGGCGGAAGCCUGAUGCAGCGACGCCGGGUGGGGGAUGACGGCCUUCGGGUUGUAAACUCCUUUCACCAUCGACGCGGUAGAUGGAGAGAAAGCAACGGCUAACUACGUGCCAGCAGCCGCGGUAAUUC
rnacentral:rRNA from 1 species